GGAGUCGUUGCCGAGUGGUUAAGGCGAUGUAUUCGAAAUCCAUUGGGGUUUCCCCGCGUAGGUUCGAAUCCUACCGGCUGCG
rnacentral:tRNA from 13 species